GAUUCACAUUGGUAUUUAAUUUCAAUCGUUUUUAAGAUGAAAUCAUUAUUUUUAAUUCAUUAAAGUCAGUUGGAAUAAAAGCAUCUACUACAGCCGGUGGAAACUGUCGUUCAUGUUUCCGGAAGAUUCAACAAAAAUUUGAACAAAGAUGCGGUCAACUAGCAGGAUCCGGAAGACCGAAAGCCAAAAAUAUGCCGGGGAAAAGUUUGUUGUUCGUUCGAGCUUCGGAAAUUGAAUACGAAAAGUAACAUUACAUCUGGUGUGGUGCUAUCCAAUCUGCAUCAGAGUAAAACCAAGGGAAUAUGAGUUUUGGUUAUUCAAGCGCUGCCGUGAGACGCCGCCGGCUGUUUCCGUUGAAUUUGUGUUUUAUCAGUAUCUGCUUUGUACAAUGAAAGUGAAGGCAGCUGAGGCUCCCUCCACCACCAAGAAGCAGGACGAAGAUCAGCUCCAUUCCAUUACGGCAAGCAGAACCAUUCCCGAUUCAAGUAUGAAGAGGAAAAUGAAAAGGCCGUUUAUAAGAGAAGCUUAAGGCAGAUAAAAAAGAUCGCCAUUCAGUGGAGCCUCCAUACGUUGAAAAAUAUUCUUCAUUCUCCUCAUUUCAAUUUGGCAACAUUGACGAUCGUACGUUGGAAGUUAUAAUUUUAAUCAUGUUUGAGUUUGCUGCCGAAAUAAAAUUAAAAAAAAAUAAACUAAAAUAUGAAAGAAUAC